CCUACGGGUGGCAGCAGUGGGGGAUAUUUCACAAUGGGGGAAACCCUGAUGCAGCGACGCCGCGUGGGUGAAGAAGCGCCUCGGCGCGUAAAGCCCUGUCAGCAGGGAAGAAAAUUACGGUACCUGAACAAGAAGCCCCGGCUAACUCCGUGCCAGCAGCCGCGGUAAUACGGAGGGGGCAAGCGUGAUCCGGAUUUACUGGGUGUAAAGGGGGCGCAGACGGCGAUGCAAGCCAGGAGUGAAAGCCCGGGGCCCAACCCCGGGACUGCUCAUGGAACUGCGUGGCUAGAGUGAAGGAGGGGCAGGCGGAAUUCCUGGUGUAGCGGUGAAAUGCGUAGAUAUCAGGAGGAACACCCGUGGCGAAGGCGGCCUGCUGGACUGCAACUGACGUUGAGGCCCGAAAGCGUGGGGAGCAAACAGGAUUAGAUACCCUUGUAGUC
rnacentral:rRNA from 1 species